rnacentral:rRNA from 1 species
CGGAUUGGAGGCUGAAACCCGCCUCCAUGAAGUUGGAUUCGCUAGUAAUCGCGCAUCAGCCAUGGCGCGGUGAAUACGUUCCCGGGCCUUGUACACACCGCCCGUCAAGCCAUGGGAGCCGGGGGUGCCUGAAGUUCGUGAUCGCAAGGAGCGACCUAGGGCAAAACUGGUGACUGGGGCUAAGUCGUAACAAGGUACC